rnacentral:tRNA from 1 species
AGGGUGUGUAGCUUAAUGGAAAAAGUACUGGUCUCCGACACCAGAGACUGAGGGUUCAACUCCCUCCAUACCCU